UUCAUGUCUGGCAUGACCUUGUCCUUCUCCACUCUCCCUACUAUGCUCUGUCUCUGCAACUGUUAGCUCUGCCUCCCUUUUCCCUGUUCAGUCACAGGCCUCUUGAUGCCCUAAAGUAAUUGGACAGGGAAAAUCUUGCAAUAAUAUAUUAUUUUUACUGUGGUUAGAUAUGUGCCACAAAUCCCUUAUCUCUUCAAGAUGUUGAACAUUAAGGGGUGUUAGAUUUUGUCAAAGCCUUUUUGAGCAUCUAAUGAGGUCAUGUGAUUUUUUCAGAUUGUUUAUAUUGUGGCUUAAGAUGAUGGAUUUUCAUAUACUGAACCAUCUCUAGAUCCCUGAGAUGAAGUCUGUUUGAUCAUGGCAUUGUCGUUUGAGCAGAUUAAUGAUUGAAUCAUCACUCUAGGAAAGAACUUAGACACACAGAUUGUCAGUAAUGACCACCAUCCUAAGAAAAAAGAAAACAGGUAAAAAAUAAAAUUGUUAGUAAACCUA